rnacentral:rRNA from 1 species
CCUACGGGUGGCUGCAGUGGGGAAUAUUGGACAAUGGGGGGAACCCUGAUCCAGCCAUGCCGCGUGUGUGAAGAAGGCCCUCGGGUUGUAAAGCACUUUCAGUGAGGAAGAACGCCUGGUGGUUAAUACCCAUCAGGAAAGACAUCACUCACAGAAGAAGCACCGGCUAACUCCGUGCCAGCAGCCGCGGUAAUACGGAGGGUGCGAGCGUUAAUCGGAAUUACUGGGCGUAAAGCGCGCGUAGGUGGCUUGAUAAGCCGGUUGUGAAAGCCCCGGGCUCAACCUGGGAACGGCAUCCGGAACUGUCUAGCUAGAGUGCAGGAGAGGAAGGUAGAAUUCCCGGUGUAGCGGUGAAAUGCGUAGAGAUCGGGAGGAAUACCAGUGGCGAAGGCGGCCUUCUGGACUGACACUGACACUGAGGUGCGAAAGCGUGGGUAGCAAACAGGAUUAGAUACCCCAGUAGUC